rnacentral:lncRNA from 1 species
UUAUGGUGCCAUAUUUUACUUUCUAGGAAGAAAAUUUUUUAAAUUAUUUAUUUUCAAAUCAGUUAGAAUUGGAGCUGAAUAAUAACUAGAGAAUAAAGCUUUUGUUUUAUAUUGAUCUUUUGAUUUCUUCAUCUCUACCCCAUUCCUUAGCAUAAUGGAAACCUUAAAGUUACCCAGAAAUAAAUGUAGCUGUGUUUCUCUCUUACCUUCCUAGUAAGAAAAACAAGUAUAAACAUUUCAGUUUCUCCUAAAAUGAACUCAGUCAUCCAUAAAUUUUGUGAUAACAUUUCAAAAUAUUACUAAAAUCUCCAAGUUUGGCAAAGGGCUUAUAUAUAUUAAGUUGAGGCCGGGCACAGUGGCUCACGCCUGUAAUCCCAGCACUUUGGGAAGCUGAGGCAGUUGAAUAGCUUGAGGCCAGGAGUUUGAGACCAGCACGUUUUUUGCUCCUGUUUUAAAGUAAAUUGUACUAAUGACAACAAUAGUGAUCUUUUAUAGGCCCAAGUUGGAUCAGUGAUCAAUUCAUAGCAUUUCUGUUUCAAAUAUUCAAAAGCAAAAAAUAAUCUGCCAAUUAGAAAACAAAAAACUUCAAACUUAAGUGAUGUAAUGAUGGAGCACCUGUAUUUGACUAGAUGUUAUAUACAUGCCAUUGAAAGACAUAGUACCUAAUCUGCCUAAUGUCUAUAAACUGGUGCAAAUAAAAGACAUUUAAACCAUGUAUUCUCUCUUAUUAAAGCCUCCUUUUAAUUGUGUUUUUCCAUCUUGAGUUUCCAACAAGAGCAUCCUUUUAAAGGGAGCUUUUUUUUUUUUUUUUUACAAGUAGCUGAAUUUAAUGACAGCUGUCUUCCUGAUAUUGUUUUGUAUAGUAAGGAGUCUCUUGGGAGUUAUCCAGAAACCAAGUCAGGAAAAGACAAUAUUGAGGAACAAAAUAAAAGGUAAGCCUAGCAAAGGCACUGAUGCUUAAUGGUUCCAAUUGGGGCCUUAUUAUUGGUUAAUGAAUCAUUGUCAAAACAUCACAGCAAGCAAGAACGUGCACAGUCUAGUCUAUAGUGAGAAAAUGACUCCAUCCCAACAGUUAUUAACUGGGAGUUGUUUGAAAACACGUCCGGUAAUUAUAACAACACUGGAGCUAAUUGAGAACUUUGAGUUGAUAGCAAAUGGCCCACAAUAGCAGACUAGAUAACUCGGGGGAUUCUUCUUUAAUUACUUAUUGAAAAAUAGCAGAAAAUGAAUUGGAUGUGGGUUAUAGUCUGCAGAUAUCAAGACAAGUUUCGGUAAUUCUAUCCCAAGAUGUGCUUCAAAAUGUAUCUGUUACCAUUAUAUUAGAAGUAGCAUCUGAAAAUGUGAAGUUCCUAAGUAAAAAUCAGGGUUGCUUUCCUAAAUAUGCCUUUUUUAAGAUUACUUUUCCUAUUAGAGUAAGAAUCAGGCUUUAAUAAUAUACAUUUCAUUCUAACAGUCAAGUAUUCAUAGGACGACUAUAGGAAUUCUCCUCCCUAACGCUAACUGUGUUUCCACAAUUGCUAUUCCCAAUGGGUAAAAACAGGGAGACACAAAGAUACAGAAAUACUCCAUUUGCCUCUUUAGUUGUUUUCCCAGUCAGGAAAGGAUUUAAAACUGUAGCAUGAAGUGAAAUUUUUGAAUGACUGUGGAUUUUGUUUAUCCGUUGUGCUUGUUCUCCCUACAUCAGUGAUGAUAAAAUAUUGUCAAAAUAAUAUUUUUCCAUACUAUAAAGGCAAAAUAAAAGCAAGGACAUAUGUUCUAAUAAAAAGUUACAUUUAGACGUUUAUUCCACUUUUUGAAAUAUAUUGAAGGAGGGUCCCAGAAGCUGAAAAUCUGAUGCUCAGCACUGUCCCCCCACCCUACUGCCUCCAGACUAAGUGCAAUGUUUGUUUCUACACACCCUCUAGCUUCAUUAAGCAAAACCACACAUCUAUCUCACAAAGAGACAGAGGAAACGUAAAAUAUCCCAAUUUCCUAAGCAAACACCUGGCCAAUGGAAAGCAAAAGGCUUCGGAUGGAAGACUUCAUUCAUUCAUUCGUUCAUCAGACUCUCUAAAUUACUUCCUAGUGUGAAACACUCCCACUUUUCAUGUUUGGUUAUUUACUUUUGGCUCAGUAAAAUAAUUGGAAAGUUGACACUUUUCCAAAAUGUUAGAC